rnacentral:rRNA from 1 species
AGUGAAGCGGCAAGAGCUCAAAUUUGAAAUCUGGCCCCUCCGGGGUCCGAGUUGUAAUUUGCAGAGGAUGCUUCGGGUGCGGCCCCCGUCUAAGUGCCCUGGAACGGGCCGUCAGAGAGGGUGAGAAUCCCGUCUUGGGCGGGGUGUCCGUGCCCGUGUGAAGCUCCUUCGACGAGUCGAGUUGUUUGGGAAUGCAGCUCUAAAUGGGUGGUAAAUUUCAUCUAAAGCUAAAUACUGGCCGGAGACCGAUAGCGCACAAGUAGAGUGAUCGAAAGAUGAAAAGCACUUUGAAAAGAGAGUUAAACAGCACGUGAAAUUGUUGAAAGGGAAGCGCUUGCGACCAGACUCGCUCGCGGGGUUCAGCCGGCAUUCGUGCCGGUGUACUUCCCCGCGGGCGGGCCAGCGUCGGUUUGGGCGGUCGGUCAAAGGCCUCCGGAAUGUAUCACCCUCCGGGGUGCCUUAUAGCCGGGGGUGCAAUGCGGCCAGCCCAGACCGAGGAACGCGCUUCGGCACGGACGCUGGCAUAAUGGUCGUAAACGACCCGUCUUGAAACACGGACCAAGGAGUCUAACAUCUACGCGAGUGUUCGGGUGUCAAACCCGUACGCGCAGUGAAAGCGAACGGAGGUGGGAGCCUUUCGGGGCGCACCAUCGACCGAUCCUGAUGUCUUCGGAUGGAUUUGAGUAAGAGCGUAAAUGUGGGGACCCGAAAGAUGGUGAACUAUGCCUGAAUAGGGUGAAGCCAGAGGAAACUCUGGUGGAGGCUCGCAGCGGUUCUGACGUGCAAAUCGAUCGUCAAAUUUGGGUAUAGGGGCGAAAGACUAAUCGAACCAUCUGGUAGCUGGUUCCUGCCGAA